AUUGAACGCUGGCGGCAUGCUUUACACAUGCAAGUCGAACGGUAACAGGGAGCUUGCUCCGCUGACGAGUGGCGAACGGGUGAGUAAUGCGUCGGAACGUGCCGAGUAGUGGGGGAUAACGCAUCGAAAGGUGUGCUAAUACCGCAUACGAACUGAGGUUGAAAGUGGGGGACCUUCGGGCCUCACGCUAUUCGAGCGGCCGACGUCUGAUUAGCUAGUUGGUGAGGUAAAGGCUCACCAAGGCGACGAUCAGUAGCGGGUCUGAGAGGAUGAUACGCCACACUGGGACUGAGACACGGCCCAGACUCCUACGGGAGGCAGCAGUGGGGAAUUUUGGACAAUGGGCGCAAGCCUGAUCCAGCCAUGCCGCGUGUCUGAAGAAGGCCUUCGGGUUGUAAAGGACUUUUGUCCGGGAGCAAAUGCUGGUGGCUAACAUCCACCGGAGCUGAGAGUACCGGAAGAAUAAGCACCGGCUAACUACGUGCCAGCAGCCGCAGUAAGAC
rnacentral:rRNA from 1 species